UGGGGAAUCUUGCGCAAUGCGCGAAAGCGUGACGCAGCAACGCCGCGUGGGGGAAGACGGCCUUCGGGUUGUAAACCCCUUUCAGUUGGGACGAAGGUCGGGCGGUGAAUAGCCGUUCCGGCUGACGGUACCUUCACAAGAAGCCCCGGCUAACUACGUGCCAGCAGCCGCGGUAAUACGUAGGGGGCAAGCGUUGUCCGGAAUCAUUGGGCGUAAAGAGCGUGUAGGCGGCCCGAUAAGUCCGCUGUGAAAGUCGAGGGCUCAACCCUCGAAUGCCGGCGGAUACUGUCGGGCUAGAGUCCGGAAGAGGCGAGUGGAAUUCCUGGUGUAGCGGUGAAAUGCGCAGAUAUCAGGAGGAACACCUACGGCGAAGGCAGCUCGCUGGGACGGUACUGACGCUGAGACGCGAAAGCGUGGGGAGCAAACAGG
rnacentral:rRNA from 1 species